rnacentral:rRNA from 1 species
UGCAAGUCGAGGGGUAGAAGUUUUCGGACUUUGAGACCGGCGCACGGGUGCGUAACGCGUAUGCAAUCUACCUUUUACAGAGGGAUAGCCCAGAGAAAUUUGGAUUAAUACCUCAUAGUAUUAUUGAAUGGCAUCAUUUAAUAAUUAAAGUUCCAACGGUAAAAGAUGAGCAUGCGUCCCAUUAGCUAGUUGGUGUGGUAACGGCACACCAAGGCAAUGAUGGGUAGGGGUCCUGAGAGGGAGAUCCCCCACACUGGUACUGAGACACGGACCAGACUCCUACGGGAGGCAGCAGUGAGGAAUAUUGGACAAUGGGCGCAAGCCUGAUCCAGCCAUGCCGCGUGCAGGAUGACGGUCCUAUGGAUUGUAAACUGCUUUUAUACAGGAAGAAACCCUUGCUCGUGAGCAAGAUUGACGGUACUGUAGGAAUAAGGAUCGGCUAACUCCGUGCCAGCAGCCGCGGUAAUACGGAGGAUCCAAGCGUUAUCCGGAAUCAUUGGGUUUAAAGGGUCCGUAGGCGGUUUUAUAAGUCAGUGGUGAAAUCCGGUAGCUCAACUAUCGAACUGCCAUUGAUACUGUAGAACUUGAAUUGCUGUGAAGUAACUAGAAUAUGUAGUGUAGCGGUGAAAUGCUUAGAUAUUACAUGGAAUACCAAUUGCGAAGGCAGGUUACUAACAUCAUAUUGACGCUGAUGGACGAAAGCGUGGGGAGCGAACAGGAUUAGAUACCCUGGUAGUCCACGCCGUAAACGAUGGAUACUAGCUGUUCGGUAGCAAUACUGAGUGGCUAAGCGAAAGUGAUAAGUAUCCCACCUGGGGAGUACGAACGCAAGUUUGAAACUCAAAGGAAUUGACGGGGGCCCGCACAAGCGGUGGAGCAUGUGGUUUAAUUCGAUGAUACGCGAGGAACCUUACCAGGGCUUAAAUGUAGGUUGACAGGCUUGGAAACAGGUUUUUCUUCGGACAACUUACAAGGUGCUGCAUGGUUGUCGUCAGCUCGUGCCGUGAGGUGUCAGGUUAAGUCCUAUAACGAGCGCAACCCCUGUCGUUAGUUGCCAGCGAGUCAUGUCGGGAAC